UACGUAGGGUGCAAGCGUUGUCCGGAAUUAUUGGGCGUAAAGAGCUCGUAGGCGGCUUGUCGCGUCGACUGUGAAAACCUGGGGCUUAACUCCGGGCCUGCAGCCGAUACGGGCAAGCUAGAGUUCGGCAGGGGAGACUGGAAUUCCUGGUGUAGCGGUGAAAUGCGCAGAUAUCAGGAGGAACACCGGUGGCGAAAGCGGCUCACUGGACCAUAACUGACGCUGAUGCACGAAAGCUAGGGGAGCAAACAGG
rnacentral:rRNA from 1 species